rnacentral:rRNA from 1 species
UAGAGUUUGAUCAUGGCUCAGGAUGAACGCUAGCGGCAGGCUUAAUACAUGCAAGUCGAGGGGCAGCAGGACUGUAGCAAUACAGUUGCUGGCGACCGGCAAACGGGUGCGGAACACGUACGCAACCUACCCAAAACUGGUGAAUAGCCCUCCGAAAGGAGGAUUAAUACACCGUAACUUAAAGAAGUGGCAUCACUUUCUUAAUAUAGCUCCGGCGGUUUUGGAUGGGCGUGCGCCUGAUUAGGUAGUUGGUGUGGGUAACGGCCCACCAAGCCUACGAUCAGUAACUGGUGUGAGAGCACGACCAGUCACNCNGGCACUGANACACGGGCCCNACUCCUACCGGACGCAACA